rnacentral:rRNA from 1 species
GACGAACGCUGGCGGCGUGCUUAACACAUGCAAGUCGAACGGAAAGGCCCUGCUUUUGUGGGGUGCUCGAGUGGCGAACGGGUGCGUAACACGUGAGUAACCUGCCCUUGACUUUGGGAUAACUUCAGGAAACUGGGGCUAAUACCGGAUAGGAGCUCCUGCUGCAUGGAGGGGGUUGGAAAGUUUCGGCGGUUGGGGAUGGACUAGCGGCUUAUCGGCUUGUUGGUGGGGGAGUGGCUUACCAAGGGUUUGACGGGUAGCCGGCAUGAGAGGGUGACCGGCCACAUUGGGACUGAGAUACGGCGCAGACUGCUACGGGAGGCAGCAGUGGGGAAUAUUGCACAAUGGUCGGAAGCCUGAUGCAGCAACGCCGCGUGCGGGAUGACGGCCUUCGGGUUGUAAACCGCUUUCGCCUAUGACGAAGCGUGAGUGACGGUAAUGGGUAAAGAAGCACCGGCUAACUACGUG